rnacentral:rRNA from 1 species
UACGUAGGGAGCAAGCGUUGUCCGGAAUCAUUGGGCGUAAAGCGCGCGUAGGCGGCCCUGUAAGUCCGCUGUGAAAGUCAAAGGCUCAACCUUUGAAAGCCGGUGGAUACUGCAGGGCUAGAGUCCGGAAGAGGCGAGUGGAAUUCCUGGUGUAGCGGUGGAAUGCGCAGAUAUCGUAAGGAAGACCAGUGGCGAAGGCGGGUCUCUGGACAGUUCCUGACGCUGAGGCACGAAGGUCAGGGGAGCAAACGGG